GACGAACGCUGGCGGCGUGCUUAACACAUGCAAGUUGAACGGUAUGACAUGGAAGCUUGCUGAAGUGUCAUAUAGUAGCGGACGGGUGAGUAAUGCAUGAGAAGCUGCCAUUGGGAGGGGGACAACAGUUGGAAACGGCUGCUAAUACCCCGUAUGCCGGAAGGUGAAAGGGAGCGAUCCGCCCGAUGAGGUGCUCAUGUCCUAUCAGCUGGUUGGUGGGGUAACGGCCCACCAAGGCAACGAUGGAUAGGGGAACUGAGAGGUUUAUCCCCCACACUGGUACUGAGACACGGACCAGACUCCUACGGGAGGCAGCAGUGAGGAAUAUUGGUCAAUGGACGCAAGUCUGAACCAGCCACGUCGCGUGAAGGAAGACGGCCCUACGGGUUGUAAACUUCUUUUAUACGGGAAUAAAGUGCCCCACGCGUGGGGUUUUGCAUGUACCGUAUGAAUAAGGAUCGGCUAACUCCGUGCCAGCAGCCGCGGUAAAUCACACUA
rnacentral:rRNA from 1 species